GAGAGUUAAACAGUACGUGAAAUUGUUGAAAGGGAAACGAUUGAGGCCAGUCAUGCCUGCGAGAAAUCAAUUAGUCGAUUGGGUUCUUCUGGUGUACUUUCUCGUACGGUUAGUCAACAUCGGUUUUGAAUGUCAUAAAAUGACUGGAGGAAUGUAGCUUCGAUCUCGUAUUGAAGUGUUAUAGCCUUUGGUAGAUGUGAUGUUUGAGACCGAGGAUUGCAACGGAUACCCUUCAGGGCUAUUCGUCUGAUCUCUGAUACGUUGCCCUGAUGUUGAAAGCUUGCUUAUGAUGUUAGGGUAUUACGGUCAAAAGGUUAGAACGAAUUACAUUCGUUAAGGAUGUUGACGUAAUGACUUUAAACGA
rnacentral:rRNA from 1 species